rnacentral:lncRNA from 1 species
CAAACCAGCUUUCUAUUAUUACACGAAUAUGAUUACAAGGUCUCCGAUAUUACAAUGAAUAACAUCGGCACGGUGACACCACGCCAUCCUCAGUUGCUCUAUGCAAGCAGCAGAACAACUCGAAGCAGCGGAAUAACUCUAGCAGCGGAGAAACUACUGGCAGCGGAACAACGACGACAGUGGUGAACUCCAAUCCGCAGGGACUCUAGCUGGAACGCUUAUCCUAGCUCGCAAACAAAUAAUCCACGGCAAACAAGCAUGCAAUCCAGGCACGACCUGCAAGCUGGCAUGACACGCCAGGUCAGUACAUUGAAUGUACUUGCAAGCUCACAAUAAACCAGAAGCAUUCAAGACAAACAACAGCAUGGCAAUUACAGGUUAAGCAGGAAUUAACAUGAGAUCAUCAGAAUAACAUGGCAUGAACAACAUGACAUCCAAAGUAAUACUCCCAAAAUAAUACCAGCUACCAUCAUGAAAAUAAUCAUAAUAGCCACUAAGAAUCCAAAGGCAACAUGAACAUGAUACCGCUAGAACAAUAUGAGCAUAGCAUGAACAUAUGAUCUGAUGAUACUAGCAUGCAACAUGAUGACACUAUAUGCAUUAUUUAUUUUGCUCAGGUUAUUUCGUACCCAUCACAUGCAUCACUUACCAACCUCGGACAUCACACGAUCAUCUCAGGAUCAAAUCAAAGCUUGGUAUAAACAAUACCGUAGUAAUCAUUAAAUGACCACAAGGAGCUUGAUCUUUACCCAUGAUUCUCGCACAACAUCACGAAUAUCCAACAACUUGGUAUCCUUGAUACCACAGUGAUCAUUCCGACGAUCACAACCACGACCAACACUUGGUCUCAAACCCUGAUCCUUACGAUGAUCACAACCACGACCAAUAUUUGGCCCGUGAUCCUUACGGCGAUCACAACCAUGACCAAUACUUGGUCUCAAACCGUGAUCCUUUCGGCGAUCACAACUAACUUAUCUCAUCACCGAACUGGGGUUGUCAUUAAUAAAGUUAUUAUUAAUACCGUUGGCUCAUGGUGGGACCUACUACGAGGUGUCCGUGACCGUGGACGCGGCUAUCGAUAGAUUAUACACUCUACAGAGGUAGCACACUGUACCCACACCACAGAACCCAUGGCCUCGCACUCCCAUUCGGGUGGACCAACGGCAUUCCGACGGAACCCCUCCAUUGCCACAGCACUCUCCCGGCCACUCCGACCCAAAUCCCCCAACGGGCUGGUCCUGGGUGGCCCCGUGUCUACCAAAGACACCCCGACCACCGUCGUGGCCAAACUCCCACUCGGGGACACUCCCACUCGGGGAAACUCCCACUUGAGGAAAUCGGUACCAUAAUCUUAUCAACGAGCACACAAGGUUAAGUCUUCUUGCCGGGCCAGGGCAAACACGACAUAACCUUCCCUAGAUGGAGGCACCGACCAGAGGCCGUAUUAAUGGACCGUAUCAAGGCCCCCCCCCCAUAAAGGCAAAUGUGGUUGCACUGGAAAGAAACUCGAUUAAGUGGCACCAUGACUCAGCCAACAGUUGUUCAAGUUCAAUUAGAUCCGAUUAAACUUGAAUGCAAUAUGCUGAGUCAUGAUAAAAUAACAUGAUGCAAUUACAAUGCAUGAACAUGAUAUCAACAUAAGUACGUGAUGCAACAUAACUGUCCAUCACAUCAACUAUCAAAUAAUCUCCAACUGAAUAUGGCAUAAUAACGAACAUAAAUAUUACGAGUGCAACACUACUCAAAGCAUAACAUGACCAUUAUCAUCAAACAUAAAUACCAUGCAAGAACUCAUCAAUAACAUUACCGAGUAACACUUAACCAACUACCAGCAAAGGAACAACGCAUAUUAACAGUACUCGAUAACGGACGUUAAUCAUGCACCGAAGAACAUGACCAACCCAACAUGUACUACAAUCAAAUAUGGCAAUAUUAAAGUAAUACUAGCAACAAGCAGGGCAUGAUAACCAGGUGCAUAAUAACAUAGCAAGCAAGUAAGCACCAACCCAGAAACAAUACCGAAACAACGAUAACCAUAUUUAAAACAAGCAAUUACUUAAUAAUUAUUCAAGUUGAAAACCAUGGCUACUGCAUGACUAUCAUGCAAGUGGGUAUUGUGGCUUGCCUGGGGAUGAAGAAUACUCCAGGAGGAAGUGCGGUGAAGCCGCGAAAAUAUUUGCCGGAAACAGUUCUCUCUCGGAGGGGUUGUUUACGUGCAAGGGCAAAAUGGUCAUUUUCACAGUGUCAAACCAUAGUGAAAAAAAACCCAACAAAACGGGCUCGACGAGACGAAGAAGUGGGCUUUGGAUUCACCUCGAUCGGAGUUGUGGUUAAAAAGAUAUGAAGGUUUGAAGUUCAGGGACUUUUCUGCAAAAAUAUCAUCACAAACAAGUCCCUGAGUGGAUAAGGUAGAAGCGCAAAGUAAUAAAUACGGUUUCCUUUAAAGAAAAUGCAUUCCGGGCUGAAACAGAGACGGAAUACGCUUACAGUUAAAGAAAUCGUACUCGGAUGGAAAUACGCUUUCGCGCGAAGACGUACUAAAGUUGUUUACGUUUCCACUUAAACACGUGGCAGGGGCUUGAGCAGCUGGCGUGCAGGUCCCACGGGUGGGGCCCGUCACUUAUCCAGCUCAGCGUGGCGGGGCCGGGCUCUGGCUCGAUGACGCGUGGGGCCCGCCUUAUCCACUCCCUCCGCCUGGCUCCUUCUUCCUCCUCCCGCGCUAGAGAGAGGCAGAGGCGAGGCCGGCCGCCUCGACGGCGAGUCCCGGCGACUCCGGCCAUCUCCCGCGGAGCUCGGCACACCGGCGUGCUCGGGAGGAGGCGGCACAUCGUAUGGUGUAGUUCACGGCCACCGAGGAGCACUGAGGCGAGGGCAGCUUCGAGGACGGCGGACGGUGGCUUCGAGCGAACCUGUGCACAUGGCCACGGGCACUCCGGCGAGAAAUGGAGGGUUGGGGAAGGGUCUCCGGCGUGUGGGGAAGCUCGUGGAGAGGUCAGGGAGUGGAGGGGUGGCUCGGAUAGCUCGGAUUUAAGCCGGGCUUCGCGGCGGCCAUGGCGGCCAUGGGGGUAGGGGAGAGCUCCAGAGGCUCAUUGGAGAGGCUGGGCCAAACCAGGGGAGGGUUGUGAGGCGGGUG